GGCCGGUAUGAAGUGAACGUUUCGGCCCACUCAGACCUUCAAGUUACGAGCUUCUGCCGAGGCCCAGUAAAAGGGAUCUGAAAAAAGGGUCCAGAAGCAGAGCUUCCUCUUCGCCAUCCCCUCCCGACGGCGUCGCCGAAACCCUCUCCGCCGAACACCCCCGCUGCUCCAGCCCUUCUCCCGGCGAAGCACGGGAACCUCGAAGGCAGUAUACGACAUGGCUUCGCAUGCGUACCCUUCCAAGAGACCAUUCCAGAAGAAGUAUUCAGAACACAAUGGUCGGGCCAAGUGGCAAAAGACAAAACAUGCUCCUUCACAGCAGCCUCAGCUGACAAUACAGCCUGGAGUUCCUCUUAUCCGCAUUCUUUGCCCUACUGAGAAAUGUGGGAAUGUUAUUGGUAAAGGUGGUAGCAUCAUUGCAAAGAUAAGGCAAGAAAACGGAGUGAAAAUCCGGGUUGAUGAAGCAGUCCCUGGUUGCGACGAGAGAGUUAUUGUCAUAACUACCGUUGAGAAGGACAAAGAAGCUAGCCACGAGCAAGGUAAAGAGAAUGAUGGUGGUACUGCUGUUUCUGCUGAUGGCGAGCAUGAGAAGGAGAAAGACCACAGUAAGGAAGAAAAAGAUGAUUCAGAUAAUGCCCACGGCAAGGAAGAACAAGAUGAUGCAGAGAGAGAUGACAGCAAGGAAGAAAAUGAUGAUUCCUCUGUUGCAAAAACUACAAAGUUGGAGCCAGAGAGGGUAAUACCAUCAGCAAUGAACGCUGUUUUGCAUGUCUUUGAUAGGAUUUUUAUAACUGAAAGUGAAAAUGGAACUGGAGAUGCAUCAGGCCAGAAAACUCCUCUUUCUUUCAGAUUGUUGGUGCUAGAUAGCCAAGUAGGUUCGCUUUUGGGAAUUCGAGGUAGUGUGAUUAAGCAAAUGUCCGCUGACAGUGGCUGUGAAAUCCGAGUUUCAAAGGAGAAUCUUCCUUUAUGUGCUUUACUCAAAGAUGAACUUUGUCAGAUUAAUGGAGAGCUUGACUCAGUUAGGAAAGGUCUGAAUGCAGUGGCUCAAGUGCUCUUUACUCACCCCCCUAGGGAAAGUGAUGUAGUUCCUGUUGUUCAUCCUUCUGGUUCAUCAUCACGCACCUUCGAUCGCUCAGAUGGUCUUCCUCCAGGAAUGCCACCUAACUUUCAUCUCCCUUUUCAAGGGCCAUCCCAUGCCAGGGGACCUUUUGAUACCAUUGACCAAAGGCCAAAUGUUGCACCUUUCCCAACUUUUCCUGACCAACGCUCAAACAUUCCUCCCUUUUCUGCUUUUCCUGAUGCUCUCAUGCAUGGCAACGCUUCAGUUCCUCCAGAACCUCUCACCUUCAGGCUAUUAUGUUCAAGUGACAAGGUCGGAAGUAUUAUAGGGAAGGGUGGAAACAGUAUCAAGACUAUUCAGAAAGAUACCGGUUGUGAAAUAAAAAUUCUCGAGACUAUUCCAAAGUCAGAUGAUCACAUCAUAAUCAUCUCUGGACCGGCGCAUCCAGGUGAUGGCAUUUCCCCAGCACAGAAUGCAAUUCUGCAUGUGCAGCGUAAAAUCACGCCACCCACCUCUAACAAGGAGGGUCCUGCAAUAUCUAGGCUGAUUGUUUCACCUAACCAAGUUGGCUGCCUCCUUGGCAAAGGUGGCAGUAUCAUAGCUGAAAUGAGGAAGCUGUCAAAAGCUCAUAUAAUAGUGCUGAGCAAAGACAAGAUCCCAAGGGGUGUACAAGAAAUUGAUGAAGUUGUUCAGAUAACCGGGGAUUCUGAGGCUAUUCAGGAAGCUCUGAUGCAGAUAACUGCUAGGCUACGUAACAAUCUUUUCCGGGACAGAAUGGCUUCAAUGGGUCCCAGUAUGCAGCCACCUUUUGGUUUGCUGGAUCCCCAGUUUGGUGCAUUUGCGGGAAUCCAUGAAUCUACAUCUCCUAGAAUUUAUCCUAAUGCAUCUCAGUUUCAUAAAGAUUUCAUGGGACGACCAUUGGAUGAGAUGCCUGCUCCUUGGACCACAAAGGAUGUUGGUGAUCCGAUGUCAAUAUCUGGCAUUCCUGGAAUGGCACACAGAGGAAUGGGUGGAUUCUCUGGUCCUGUUCAUUCAUCUAGGCCAAUCAUAACUGGAAAUAUCAUGGUUCCAAGAUUAGUUAUACCUGCUCUAUGUGGGCAUGAUGGAGGUUGUUUGAAUCUGAUUCGCGAGUUUUCAGGAGCUAAGAUAACAAUCGAUGAACCGCUAGCUGAUUCCAUCGAUACACCUGUUAUGAUAUCUGGCACACCGGAUCAGAUGCAUGCAGCCCGAAGUCUUGUUCAAGCAUUUGUUCUAAGUGAACCACCUGCCUCAUGAGAUUUCAAAUCUCUGAAGGUGAUGCAUCCCCUUCUAAUAUUUUGAUCCUUCUGGGGAGGUCAUACGCCCAGGUCAGCAGUUUUGGUGAGUUGUCAACUGGGGUAGUUCCUUGUAGGCAGACAGUUGGUUAUCAUCUCUGCUUGGUUAUACUUUGCUGCUAUGUUAGCAUUGGAGGCUGCAUCCUAGAAGAGGGUUAAGCAGCACUCCACAAUAUACGAGCAAUGUAGGCAGACGCAGCAUGAAGCCUCGCUUCCGGUGCAUACAUGAGCACAAGCACAUUCAGACAGGCGAUGGACAUAGAAAAUUACUAUGAUAUUCUAGCACCAGGAUGCUUCUAUUUUGUAGCCACAUAUUGUAUGAAGCUUCUAUUUUGUGGCUCAUAUGUACAACUUCCAUCCAAUGGUGGUCAAUUGUCUUCUCGCUUACACAAGGGGCGGCAAAUCUAAUCCCUUUCGGCUCUAUUUUGUAGCCCAUGUUGUAUGAAGCUUCUAUUUUGUGACUCAUGUACAAAUUCACUCCAA